rnacentral:rRNA from 1 species
AUUGAACGCUGGCGGCAGGCCUAACACAUGCAAGUCGAGCGGAGCGGCGGACGGGUGAGUAAUGCCUAGGAAUCUGCCUGGUAGUGGGGGAUAACGUCCGGAAACGGGCGCUAAUGCCGCAUACUAUCAGAUGAGCCUGGGUGGGAGUGGCGAGUGGGUGGGGUAAAGGCCUACCAAGGCGACGAUCCGUAACUGGUCUGAGAGGAUGAUCAGACACACUGGAACUGAGACACGGUCCAGACUCCUACGGGAGGCAGCAGUGGGGAAUAUUGCACAAUGGGCGCAAGCCUGAUGCAGCCAUGCCGCGUGUGUGAAGAAGGCCUUCGGGUUGUAAAGCACUUUCAGCGGGGAGGCGUUACCCGCAGAAGAAGCACCGGCUAACUCCGUGCCAGCAGCCGCGGUAAUAC